ACAUGCAAGUUGAACGCUUGAUUUUCACCGAAGCUUGCUUCACCGAAAAUCAAGAGUAGCGAACGAGUGAGUAACGCGUGGGUAACCUACCUUUCAGCGGGGGAUAACUAUUGGAAACGAUAGCUAAUACCGCAUAACAAUGUUGGAUGCAUAUUCGACAUUUGAAAGUAUCAAUUGGUACACUGAGAGAUGGACCCGCGUUGUAUUAGCUAGUUGGUAGUGUAAUGGACUACCAAGGCGAUGAUACAUAGCCGACCUGAGAGGGUGAUCGGCCACAUUGGGACUGAGACACGGCCCAAACUCCUACGGGAGGCAGCAGUAGGGAAUCUUCGGCAAUGGACGAAAGUCUGACCGAGCAACGCCGCGUGAGUGAAGAAGGUUUUCGGAUCGUAAAACUCUGUUGUUAGAGAAGAACGUUGCAUAGAGUGGAAAAUUAUGCAAGUGACGGUAUCUAACCAGAAAGGGACGGCUAACUACGUGCCAGCAGCCGCGGUAAUACGUAGGUCCCGAGCGUUGUCCGGAUUUAUUGGGCGUAAAGCGAGCGCAGGUGGUUUAAUAAGUCUGAUGUAAAAGGCAGUGGCUCAACCAUUGUGUGCAUUGGAAACUGUUAGACUUGAGUGCAGUAGAGGAGAGUGGAAUUCCAUGUGUAGCGGUGAAAUGCGUAGAUAUAUGGAGGAACACCGGUGGCGAAAGCGGCUCUCUGGACUGUCACUGACACUGAGGCUCGAAAGCGUGGGUAGCAAACAGGAUUAGAUACCCUGGUAGUCCACGCCGUAAACGAUGAGUGCUAGUUGUUUGGGGCUAUCCAGCCCUAAGUGACGCAGCAAACGCAUUAAGCACUC
rnacentral:rRNA from 1 species